UUACAAUGGAGAGUUUGAUCCUGGCUCAGGAUGAACGCUAGCGGCAGGCCUAAUACAUGCAAGUCGAGCGGCAA
rnacentral:rRNA from 1 species